GACUCUCGGCAACGGAUAUCUCGGCUCACGCAUCGAUGAAGAACGUAGCAAAAUGCGAUACUUGGUGUGAAUUGCAGAAUCCCGUGAACCAUCGAGUUUUUGAACGCAAGUUGCGCCCUAAGCCAUCCGGUUGAGGGCACGCCUGCCUGGGCGUCACGCAUCGC
rnacentral:rRNA from 3 species